UAGAGACUAGUUUAACAAAAACUACUAAUUUCGACUUAGUAAAUCUCGCUAAACCUGCGAGGACUCUAA
rnacentral:tRNA from 1 species